rnacentral:rRNA from 1 species
UACGGGGGGUGCGAGCGUUGUCCGGAAUCACUGGGCGUAAAGGGCGCGUAGGUGGCGUGAUAAGGGUGUGGUGAAAGCCCGGGGCUCAACCCCGGGUCGGCCGUGCGGACUGGCGUGCUCGAGCACUGUAGGGGCGGGUGGAAUUCCGGGUGUAGCGGUGGAAUGCGUAGAGAUCCGGAAGAACACCGGUGGCGAAGGCGGCCCGCUGGGCAGGAAGGCUCGCAAGAGCCGGCUGACGCUGAGGCGCGACAGCGUGGGGAGCAAACAGG